ensembl:lncRNA
UGUAGUGUAGAGUUAGGGCUGUAGUGUAGAGUUAGGGCUGUAGUGUAGAGUUAGGGCUGUAGUGUAGAGUUACGGCUGUAGUGUAGAGAUACGGCAUUUUAGUCACAUAAAGACUGUUAAACUAGCUGUAGAAGUGCUGUAGAGGUGCUGUAUCUCAGCUGUAGGGGUGCUGUAUCUCAGCUGUAGAAGUGAUGUAUCUCAGCUGUCGAGGUGCUGUAACUCAGCUGUAGAGAGGUGCUGUAUCUCAGCUGUAGAGGUGCUGUAUCUCAGCUGUAGAGGUGCUGUAUCUCAGCUGUCGAGGUGCUGUAACUCAGCUGUAGAGAGGUGCUGUAUCUCAGCUGUAGAGGUGCUGUAUCUCAGCUGUAGAGGUGCUGUAUCUCAGCUGUAGAGGUGCUGUAUCUCAGCUGUAGAGGUGCUGUAUCUCAGCUGUAGAGGUGAUGUAUCUCAGCUGUAGAGAGGUGCUGUAUCUCAGCUGUAGAGGUGCUGUAUCUCAG